GUGGCUCCUGGGCCAGGGGCUGCUCUGAACAGGCUCCUGGAGAUGCUUCAGCCUGGAUACAGGCCACUGACAGCCCAAAAGCAGCCCAAGGAGCAGCUGGCGUGUCCUGGUGAUGGUGGCACGGGCUGCGUGCAGAGGGGCUCAGACAGCAAUUCCUGGUUCCAGCCUCCCAGAGCUCCCAGGCAGCUGCCAGCUAUUAAAUGCCAACCGACAGCCUGCAGAGAUGCCUUCAAAUCAAAGGUUCAGGUGGGAUGAAGUUUUGUUUGGACGAAGGUGGGAGUUUCCAGGGAGCCAGCUGGAAGUGCAGAAGGGAUGGAAAGCUUUCCCAGGUGCUGGACUUGCCUCUGUGGAUGUGUGCUGAGCUCUCACUACAGGGGACUGUGAGGCCUGACUGGCUGUGAGUUUGUGUUCUUCUCACAGGGGAAUCAGAAAUGAUCAUUAAUUAGACCACAGAAAUCUUUUCUGAAACCUUUCCCCUUUCCUGCCCUUUGCUGGUAAGUCUUUUCUUUCUGCCUUUAACUCUACAGCUGUUCCCUGAUGUCAUUGCCCCAGUCUCACUUCUGUGCAGCUCCUAGCUGGGGAAAACUCAUAAUAGAGCUGGUAACAAGUAAGCACUUGUUUCUACACUUCUUUUUCCAAAACUUUCACCAGAACUUAAUUUCACUAGUUAGGAAGCGUGGUGAGGGGUGCAGGAGGAGCAGGAAUA